AGAGAAAGCGGGCGGCAGGCCUAACACAUGCAAGUCGAACGAACCUUUCGGGGUUAGUGGCGGACGGGUGAGUAACACGUGGGAACGUGCCUUUAGGUUCGGAAUAACUCAGGGAAACUUGUGCUAAUACCGAAUGUGCCCUUCGGGGGAAAGAUUAAUCGCCUUUAGAGCGGCCCGCGUCUGAUUAGCUAGUUGGUUGAGGUAAUGGCUCACCAAGGCGACGAUCAGUAGCUGGUCUGAGAGGAUGAUCAGCCACAUUGGGACUGAGACACGGCCCAAACUCCUACGGGAGGCAGCAGUGGGGAAUCUUGCGCAAUGGGCGAAAGCCUGACGCAGCCAUGCCGCGUGAAUGAUGAAGGUCUUAGGAUUGUAAAAUUCUUUCACCGGGGACGAUAAUGACGGUACCCGGAGAAGAAGCCCCGGCUAACUUCGUG
rnacentral:rRNA from 1 species